GAGUUUGAUCCUGGCUCAGGACGAACGCUGGCGGCGUGCUUAACACAUGCAAGUCGAACGGUAAGGCCCCUUCGGGGGUACACGAGUGGCGAACGGGUGAGUAACACGUGGGUAAUCUGCCCUGCACUUCGGGAUAAGCCUGGGAAACUGGGUCUAAUACCGGAUAUGAACUCCUGCCGCAUGGUGGGGGUUGGAAAGUUUUUCGGUGCAGGAUGAGCCCGCGGCCUAUCAGCUUGUUGGUGGGGUAAUGGCCUACCAAGGCGACGACGGGUAGCCGGCCUGAGAGGGUGAUCGGCCACACUGGGACUGAGACACGGCCCAGACUCCUACGGGAGGCAGCAGUGGGGAAUAUUGCACAAUGGGCGAAAGCCUGAUGCAGCGACGCCGCGUGGGGGAUGACGGUCUUCGGAUUGUAAACCCCUUUCAGUAGGGACGAAGCGCAAGUGACGUACCUGCAGAGACGCC
rnacentral:rRNA from 1 species